UACGGGGGGGGCAAGCGUUGUUCGGAAUUACUGGGCGUAAAGGGCUCGUAGGCGGCCAACUAAGUCCGACGUGAAAUCCCCAGGCUUAACCUGGGAACUGCGUCGGAUACUGGAUGGCUUGAAUUCGGGAGAGGGAUGCAGAAUUCCAGGUGUAGCGGUGAAAUGCGUAGAUAUCUGGAGGAAUACCGGUGGCGAAGGCGGCAUCAUGGACCGACAUUGACGCUGAGGAGCGAAAGCUAGGGGAGCAAACGGG
rnacentral:rRNA from 1 species